rnacentral:SRP_RNA from 2 species
UAUUCGUCCCCUCGCGACGCUAAGCUGGGAACCCCGCCAGGUCCGGAAGGAAGCAACGGUACCAGUGGCUGCGGGUGCCGAGGUCAGGCGGGUAGUG